AAGCUAUGUAAAUUGGCCAAAUCAUGAGGACUUUCUAGUUCCAGUGUCAAGUCAGUGGCUCCAAAGACUACAAAUACCAACUGAAAACAGCAUUGCAGCAGCAAAGAUAAGUGACUCUAAUACUUUAAGAAAAAUAGGACAUAGAUAACUUUUUUGAAUGCCAAGGAAAAGAUCUUAAUGGUAGAACCAGAAAAAAACCAUCUUGUCCUCUUUCACCAAUAAAUUUUGUUUUGAAAUAUUUAUCUUUUCCUGAACUGCACACUAAUGUACAAGCUUCAAAAUCACACUGGUGAUUAGAUAGGCAUUAUUUAGAUAUUUCAUAGUCAUUUUACCAUUUGAUUCUUGUGGAUGAUCUUUCAUGUUAACAGUAAAACAAUAUCUUAACUUUGUCUCUUUCAGUUACAUCAGUUUAGGUUUUGACCUAAUUUUAGUAUUGAACAGCUUCCAAAACUAAAAUUGCUGGGAGAAGUAAAGCUUUAUUUUUCAUUUCCCUCCCCCCCGCCCAAAACUGUUUCUGCAUUUUUCUUCCUCCUCUGUACAUCCUACUCACCAAGAGCCCAGAACUAAUAAAAGACCUUAUUUUUUCAGUUGACUGCAUAAAUGUAAAUGGGAAUUUAUGAGAAACAGUGCUAAAGGCAUUAUAGUAUAUCAGCGCUUAAGAAAUUUCUGAGCCAUUAUUUACAUAGCAUCCUUGUUCUCCUAAAUGCAAAUGUAUAGAAUAUUUCAAUAUUUUUUUUUUUCAGGAUUUCGCUGGCCAAAUUUGACCAAACAUGUCUGGUCUGUUGUGUUUUGCGAUGAUGUUCUAAUCUGAACCUGAAGUUUUCACACAGAAAAAUCAGAUGAGGACACAGAAGAAUUCACUGGGCCAUCAGUGCAGCCCAGUUGCAAUGUAUAGGGGUAGUGGUGCAGUGACUGGUUUCACCCUUCUCUGGAUACCAGCUGUGGUAUUGGCUUCAGGGAGCCAACACAAGCACUUGAACUGUCCCUGGUACUUCAGGUUCGGCCUGAACGCCUCCAUAGGAAGACUCUCAACCAGGUUUUUCAGACACGCCCACAGUCCACAGCCCCUUCUGUUUCAUGAGCACUCUGAAAAUCAAGACACAAGACAAACAACCCCUUUGAACAAAGCUUUCUGA
rnacentral:lncRNA from 13 species